UACGUAGGGUGCGAGCGUUGUCCGGAAUUAUUGGGCGUAAAGAGCUCGUAGGCGGUCUGUCGCGUCGGUCGUGAAAACUUGGGGCUUAACCCUGAGCUUGCGGUCGAUACGGGCAUGACUGGAGUUCGGCAGGGGAGACUGGAAUUCCUGGUGUAGCGGUGGAAUGCGCAGAUAUCAGGAGGAACACCGGUGGCGAAGGCGGGUCUCUGGGCAGUAACUGACGCUGAGGAGCGAAAGUGUGGGGAGCGAACAGG
rnacentral:rRNA from 1 species